AGAGAGAGAAAGAUAGUCGCAAUGAGUUCAAUUCCCAGACCGGGCUGUGUGUUGUGUUCUUGAGCAAGACACUUUAUUUCACACAGCUCCGGUUCACUCAUCUACAGAAAUGAAUUGCAAUAUUCACUGGUGCCAAGCUGUAUCGGAUCCUUUGCCUUUCUCUUGGACAACAUCAGUGGUGUGAAGAGGGGAGGCUGGUAUCCAUGGGCAA